CUGCAGCCCGACUUGAACGGAGCUCUUUUUGUGUAACGCAGUGGAACAAAAAAGCGGGAGUGGAAGGCGGAAAAGCU
rnacentral:misc_RNA from 1 species